GCCUACGGGGGGCAGCAGUGAGGAAUAUUGGUCAAUGGGCGGGAGCCUGAACCAGCCAAGUCGCGUGAGGGAAGACGGUCCUACGGAUUGUAAACCUCUUUUGCCGGGGAGCAACGGGGUCCUUGCGAGGGCCCAAUGAGAGUACCCGGAGAAAAAGCAUCGGCUAACUCCGUGCCAGCAGCCGCGGUAAUACGGAGGAUGCGAGCGUUAUCCGGAUUUAUUGGGUUUAAAGGGUGCGUAGGCGGACUGUCAAGUCAGCGGUAAAAUACGGGGGCUCAACCUCCGCCCGCCGUUGAAACUGACGG
rnacentral:rRNA from 1 species